UACGUAGGGGGCGAGCGUUGUCCGGAAUCACUGGGCUUAAAGGGCGCGUAGGCGGCAAAUCAAGUCCGGGGUGAAAGCCCUCAGCUCAACUGGGGAAGUGCCUCGGAUACUGGCUUGCUGGAGGGAGGUAGGGGUCGAGGGAACUUCUGGUGGAGCGGUGAAAUGCGUUGAUAUCAGAAGGAACGGCCGGUGGCGAAAGCGCUCGACUGGACCUUUUCUGACGCUGA
rnacentral:rRNA from 1 species